AAACAUCGACUCAAAUCAUUGUCGAAUAAAUGUCAAGAGGACUUUUCACGCGAUGAAGUGCAGACAAGAGAGUAGAAAAGUAUAUUCAUGAAAAAAGUUUGCUUUUGCAAUAAAAGCACGUGUCGAGUUUAAACUGAUAUUUUUUUCCGUACCGUAGCACCAAUAAAUACAACAAUAAUAAUAAUAUCAAUAAUAAUCAUCAAAGCGAUAGCGAGAUAACAAUAAUUAAAAUAUAUAAUAUGUACUAAUCGAUGCUCAGUGUUUGUGAUAAAAUUAGGGGAUGGUUAGGCGCAAACGUAGAUAUCACGGUUCGAGGGGAAAAUAUCCUUCUUCGUCGCCUCCGGGCA
rnacentral:misc_RNA from 1 species